GAACUGGCGUGCACAAUUGUAGACAUAAGAUAUAAUUUAAAAAAUAAAUAUUAAACUCUCAAGCUUUCCGAUUGAAAAGGGGUUGUAUUCGUUUGUUCACUAAUAAACUACUCAAUUUAAUACUACUUACGCCAUUUUUUAGGAUAUUCUAGCGUUUUUCGACAAUUUGCGACUAGUGUCCGUGCGUGAUUUGAACUGUACAGAUGCAAAAACACCAAUAUGUCCUCAUUGGAGGCGUUACAAGUAUGAUAAGAUGAAGGAGAUCUUUCUGACUUAUUAUUAUCAUCUGAUGACGAAGAUAAUUAUUAUGGAGAUUCAAUUCGUCGAGCAAAUUGAAUCUAGCAGCUAAUGCUAGAAUUAGCGCAGAUGUCAUUUACCAAAACUAAAGGGAGUUUUUUCCACCUGAAUUUGAUGACAAUGAAGGACUUAGCGAAUUUUAUGACGGCGUCCCUGCUUUACUUUGACAAUAAUUUUUCAUCAUACCAUUUACUACAAAUCCUAAAACAAAAAGAUAUUAUGGCCGCAUGCACAGCUCGUGUUAACAGAUUUGUUAAACCACCGUUUUUAAGUGACAAGGUAACAAAUAAGAAGCCUAGGGGUUUUUUUCAAGAAGUAUGUAGCAGAGACGGAGAUGUAACUGAUGUAAAGUGGUUGGACAAUAAGAUUACCCAUUUGGCUUCCAAUUUUGUUGGUAUAGGUGACAAGGACUUAGUAAAGAGAUGGUGUAAAAAAAGAAGCGAUAUAUUGAGGUUGCGCAACCUGAGGUCUUAAAGCGCUAUAAUCAUGCAAUGGGUGGCGUUAAUUUAUUAGAUCAACUUAUGAGCUAUUACAGAACAUUUAUAGAAUCAAAAAAAUUUACUCUGCGUAUGAUAUUUUAUGCAUCGGAUGUGGAAGUUCUUCAGGCAUAUCAAGAAUACCAAAUAGAUAACGACUUGUAACGGCACACCUAAAAAGCAAGGACUUACUUUACUUUCGUCGUCGCUUGGCUGACAGUUUGGUGCUACAAGAUAAAUGUUCUACCACCAAAAGAGGUCGACCAAGUAGCAGUAGUAGCAAAUUAUACCAAGAAGGCCAGGAGAGAUUCGUCCUGCAGCUGAAAUAACUCGUGACGGUGUUGGGCAUUUCCCUAAACAUGACGAUGGAACUGGGACUAGGUGUAAAAUGGUGAGAUGCAAGGAAAAAUCCCGUGUAAAAUGCAAAGUUCAUUUAUACCUAACCAAAGACAAGAAUUGCUUCUUGGCUUUCCACACAUAGAUAAAGAUUUUUUUUUCCUAAUUAUUGUUCUUACUGUGUUUUUAUAUUUGUACCAAUAACUGAUUAUGCCAAAAAACUAAUAAAUGUUUAUUUUAUCACAAAGAAAAAAUUUAACUACGUUAAUUCAUUUAUAAUUUUGUAAUAAAAAUGUUUUUAAAUUAA